rnacentral:rRNA from 1 species
CCUACGGGAGGCUGCAGUGGGGAAUAUUGGGCAAUGGGCGCAAGCCUGACCCAGCAACGCCGCGUGAAGGAAGAAGGCCCUCGGGUUGUAAACUUUUUUUAUCAAGGACGAAACAAAUGACGGUACUUGCUGAAUAAGUCACGGCUAACUACGUGCCAGCAGCCGCGGUAAUACGUAGGUCGCAAGCGUUAUUCGGAUUUACUGGGUGUAAAGGGUGAUUAGGCGGGACUGCAAGUCAGAUGUGAAAACCAUGGGAUCAAACCAUUGCCUGCAUUUGAAACUGUAGUUCUUGAGUGGUGGAGAGGCAGGCGGAAUUCCGGGUGUAGCGGUGAAAUGCGUAGAUAUACGGAAGAACACCGGUGGCGAAGGCAGCCUGCUGGACAAUAACUGACGCUGAGGCGCGAAAGCGUGGGGAGCAAACAGGAUUAGAUACCCUUGUAGUC